rnacentral:rRNA from 1 species
CCUACGGGGAGCAGCAGUGGGGAAUAUUGGGCAAUGGAGGCAACUCUGACCCAGCAACGCCGCGUGAAUGAUGACGGUCUUCGGAGUGUAACGUUCUUUUCUAAGGGGAGAAGAAAGUGACGGUACCUUAGGAAUAAGCCUCGGCUAACUACGUGCCAGCCGCCGCGGUAAUACGUAGGAGGCAAGCGUUAUCCGGAAUGACUGGGCGUAAAGGGUGCGUAGGUGGUUUGACAAGUUAGUAGCGCAACUCCGGAGCUCAACUUAGGAAUUACUACUAAAACUGUUGGUCUUGAGUGCAGUAGGGGCAAUCGGAAGUCGUAGUGUAGCGGUGGAAUGCGUAGAUAUUAGGAGGAACACCAGUGGCGAAGGCGGAUUGCUAGACUGUAACUGACACUGAGGCACGAAAGCGUGGGGAGCAAACAGGAUUAGAUACCCCAGUAGUC